rnacentral:rRNA from 1 species
CCUACGGGAGGCAGCAGUGGGGGAUAUUGGACAAUGGGGGGAACCCUGAUCCAGCGACGCCGCGUGAGUGAAGAAGUCUUUCGGUAUGUAAAGCUCUGUCAGCAGGGAAGAAAGAAAUGACGGUACCUGACCAAGAAGCCCCGGCUAACUACGGGCCAGCAGCCGCGGUAAGACGGAGGGGGCAAGCGUUAUCCGGAAUUACUGGGUGUACCGGGAGCGUAGACGGUUAAGUAAGGCUGGAGUGAAAGGCCGGGGCCCCACCCCGGGACUGCUCUGGAAACUAUUGAACUUGAGUGCAGGGGAGGUCAGCGGAAUUCCUAGUGUAGCUGUGCAAUGCUUAGAUAUUAGGAGGAACCCCAGUGGCGCAGGCGGCUUACUGGACUGUAACUGACGUUGAGGCUCG